GGGUCCCGUGUCCCCGUCACCCCCGAGAAAGUACGUGGGGUCCCGUGUCCCCGUCACCCCCGAGAAGGUACGUGGGGUCCCGUGUCCCCGUCACCCCGAGAAGGUACGCGGGUCUCGUGUCCCCGUCACCCCGAGAAGGUAUGUGGGGUCCCGUGUCCCCGUCACCCCGAGAAGGUAUGUGGGGUCUCGUGUCCCCGUCACCCCGAGAAGGUACGCGGGUCUCGUGUCCCCGUCACCCCGAGAAGGUAUGUGGGGUCUCGUGUCCCCGUCACCCCGAGAAGGUAUGUGGGGUCUCGUGUCCCCGUCACCCCGAGAAGGUACGCGGGUCCCGUGUCCCCGUCACCCCGAGAAGGUACGCGGGUCCCGUGUCCCCGUCACCCCGAGAAGGUACGCGGGUCCCGUGUCCCCGUCACCCCGAGAAGGUACGUGGGGUCCGUGUCCCCGUCACCCCGAGAAGGUACGUGGGGUCCCGUGUCCCCGUCACCCCGAGAAGGUACGCGGGUCCCGUGUCCCCGUCACCCCGAGAAGAAUCUUGAUUUUCCUUGCAAUGGGUGCAGUCGAGCCCUCACAAACGUUCUGCAGACCUGUGUGCAGUAACCAUCCCGUGCCAGGCUCUGGGCCAAAAGCCUUGGGGAGGAAGUUAAGGAGCCCUCACCUGACCUGAAGUGAGUGCAGCCUGGAAGAGGAGGCAGACUCGCGCAAUAUCCACCUUGUGUAGAAAGUGCCAUAAAAAUGUCAGAAAUGUGUCAUGGAUCCACUUUGACUGUAAAGACUUAGGUAGAUAAAGUAAAUGGAUAGAAAAAGAUACACCAUGCAAACGUUAAUCAAAUGAAGCAGCUGUAUGAGUCCCAGACAAAGGAGACUUCAGAACAAGGAAUAUCACCAGAGACAAAAAGGUGUAUUCUUUAAUAAUAAAGAGGUCAAUUUUCCAAGAA